rnacentral:sRNA from 1 species
GCCCCGGCCCGCCCCCCUGUGGCCGGGUGGCGGUUCGCGCACACCCCCCCGAGCGCGAACCGCCCUUA